ensembl:lncRNA
AUUCAAGGUUUCUGACUGGUAUAGUGUGUGAUAUUUGCCAAAUGGGGGAAAAGGUAUUUGGAAGCUGUGAGAUACACCAUGGAAUUAGUGGCUACAGUGGAAUUUAUGAAGUUUAUUUAGCCUCCAUGUUUGCUGAAAGGAUUUACUGGAAGUUGGAAUGAGUAUCCUUUGAAUGCACUGAAAGGAAAGUAGAAUUCUUGUGGGUGAAGUUUAGAGAUCUUUUAAUCCAAGGGUUAUUUGACUAGCAAGAAUUUUGAUGAAUCUCAUUUGAAGAUUGUUACCCUCUGCAGCAUUUCCCCUAACCUUUAUCAUUGUAGAUAGAAAAUUGUCUUAAGAUUGGGUCUUAGCCUUGGUGCCAUUUCUCUUGCUUUUCAGUGUGGAGGAACGCAGGAGACUGAGUUUAGAUUUUUUUACAAAAUCACUGACCCUUUUGACUAUCAUAUCUGUUACUUUCCCCACCUUAAAGGCAUAAACUCAUAUGUUGUAUUAGAGGGAAAAGAUCCCCUGGAGAAGGGAAUGGCAACCCACUCCAGUAUGCUUGCCUGGAGAAUUCCAUGGACAGAGGAGCUUGAUGGAAUACAGUCCAUGGGGUCACAAGGAGUCCCACAGGACUGAGUGACUAACACUUUCAAUCCAUUGUCAGUUGGGGUGGGGGGGGGCAGGGAGGA